rnacentral:rRNA from 1 species
UACAGCCAGUUGUGGGACUAUGGACAAGAACUGAGGAGAAGUAAUCCAGGGAGCAAAUUCAUUGUUUGCACAACCAAAGUGAAGGAAAAAGGUGACGUGCUUCCAAAAGAUCACCUAUUUUCACUGUAUUGGUCCUAUGGUGCCUGCAAGAGAGGUUUUCUGAGGGGAUGCAGGCCAAUUAUAUUUGUUGAUGGGUGUCACCUGAAGAGCAAAUAUAAGGGUGUGCUGCUUACAGCUGUUGGGAUUGAUCCCAAUGAUUGCAUAUUUCCAAUUGCAAUGGGGAUGAUGGAGGUGGAGUCAACUUACUCUUGGGAAUGGUUUCUCACCACU